rnacentral:rRNA from 1 species
UCGCCUCUAGUUGCCAGCACGAAGGUGGGCACUCUAGAGGGACUGCCGGCGACAAGUCGGAGGAAGGUGGGGAUGACGUCAAAUCAUCAUGCCCCUUAUGACCUGGGCUACACACGUGCUACAAUGGGCGGUACAAAGGGCUGCGAACCCGCGAGGGGGAGCGAAUCCCAAAAAGCCGCUCUCAGUUCGGAUUGCAGGCUGCAACUCGCCUGCAUGAAGCCGGAAUCGCUAGUAAUCGCGGAUCAGCAUGCCGCGGUGAAUACGUUCCCGGGCCUUGUACACACCGCCCGUCACACCACGAGAGCUUGCAACACCCGAAGUCGGUGACGGUAACCCUUACGGGAGCCAGCCGCCGAAGGUGGGGCAAGUGAUUGGGGUG